GACGAACGCUGGCGGCGUGCCUAAUACAUGCAAGUUGAGCGCUGAAGGUUGGUACUUGUACCAACUGGAUGAGCAGCGAACGGGUGAGUAACGCGUGGGAAUCUGCCUUUGAGCGGGGGACAACAUUUGGAAACGAAUGCUAAUACCGCAUAAAAACUUUAAAAACCAGGUUUAAGGUUGAAAGAUUCAAUUUCAUUACUCAAAGGAUAUUCCGCGUUGUAUUAGCUAGUUGGUGAGGUAAAGGCUCACCAAGGCGAUGAUACAUAGCCGACCUGAGAGGGUGAUCGGCCACAUUGGGACUGAGACACGGCCCAAACUCCUACGGGAGGCAGCAGUAGGGAAUCUUCGGCAAUGGACGAAAGUCUGACCGAGCAACGCCGCGUGAGUGAAGAAGGUUUUCGGAUCGUAAAACUCUGUUGGUAGAGAAGAACGUUGGUGAGAGUGGAAAGCUCAUCAAGUGACGGUAACUACCCAGAAAGGGACGGCUAACUACGUG
rnacentral:rRNA from 1 species